CCUACGGGAGGCAGCAGUAAGGAAUAUUGGACAAUGGGCGCAAGCCUGAUCCAGCCAUGCCGCGUGAAGGAUUAAGGUCCUCUGGAUUGUAAACUUCUUUUAUAGGGGACGAAAAAAGGGCAUUCUUGUUCACUUGACGGUACCCUAUGAAUAAGCACCGGCUAACUCCGUGCCAGCAGCCGCGGUAAUACGGAGGGUGCAAGCGUUAUCCGGAUUCACUGGGUUUAAAGGGUGCGUAGGCGGGCAGGUAAGUCAGUGGUGAAAUCCUAGAGCUUAACUCUAGAACUGCCAUUGAUACUAUCUGUCUUGAAUAUUGUGGAGGUAAGCGGAAUAUGUCAUGUAGCGGUGAAAUGCUUAGAUAUGACAUAGAACACCUAUUGCGAAGGCAGCUUACUACGCAUAUAUUGACGCUGAGGCACGAAAGCGUGGGGAUCAAACAGGAUUAGAUACCCUGGUAGUCCACGCCCUAAACGAUGGAUACUCGACAUACGCGAUACACUGUGUGUGUCUGAGCGAAAGCAUUAAGUAAUCCACCUUGGGAAGUACGUUCCGCAAGGAUUGAACUCAAGGAAUUGACGGCUUGAGACGNGCGAGGACGACGACGAGGAGUAGG
rnacentral:rRNA from 1 species